UCCUGGAGGUUUCCCACGCCAAAAGUGAACUUAGCAUCCCCUCCUCCCUAUGUUAGAUUAAUGAAGAGAGAUCAAAUAUCCCGCCACAGUCACCAGCUGCUGCCGCCCCUCCACCGUAAACACCAAACAGCAGUGGAUCACGACGCGUCGACCCCGCGGCAAAUGGCGGGGCAUGUGUGUCGCUUUUUCACCAAAAUUAAAGAGUUAAUUAUCUGGAGUUGGAGCUAUCUCUGGGCCCUUUGGUUUCUUUUAGUUAUAUCUGUUAUCUACUACCUUCGAGGGCCGCUCAAAAUCACAGACAAUAUCGGAAUGGCCACGGUGUUUCUGUCGACACUCACACCCAAAUUCUACGUGGCCCUGACAGGAACCUCAUCACUCAUAUCUGGACUUAUUUUGAUAUUUGAAUGGUGGUACUUUAGAAAAUAUGGCACUUCAUUUAUUGAACAAGUUUCCCUCAACCACCUUAGUCCGUGGAUUGGUGGGGGAGAAAACAACACGGCAGAGAGCACCACCACCAACUCCAACAACAACAAUAACCAGCAGAGUGUGCCAGAAUGUAAAGUUUGGCGCAAUCCUCUCAACCUUUUUCGUGGAUCGGAGUACCAGAGGUUAACAUGGUCAACCAAGAAGGAGCCAUUGACCUACUAUGAUAUGAAUUUAUCUGCACAGGACCACCAAACCUUUUUCACCUGUGAAGCUGAUGCUGGCAAACCUGAAUAUGAAAUAAUGCAGACGGCGUGGAGGGAAAGAAACCCAGAAGUGCGAAUUAAAUCAGCGCGUUCUGCCUUAGAUCUCAACCCAGAGUGUGCCUCAGCAUACAUUCUCCUAGCAGAAGAAGAAUGUACCUCCAUUAUUGAAGUGGAGAAGAAGCUGAAAAUAGCCCUUAAACAUGCAGAGACAAACUAUCGAAGGUCUCAGAUCACGCAACAUCAGAGUGGUACCAUGGAAGCUCUACACAGACGAGACACAAAUGUGUUCAUAUAUAUAAAAAGACGGCUGGCUAUGUGUGCACGCAAGUUAGGCAAGAUGAAGGAAGCAAUAAAGAUGUUCAGAGAUUUAACGAAGGAAGUUCCUCCAAUCAUGAAUGUUCUAAACCUCCAUGAAAACCUUCUGGAGGCGCUGCUAGAAGUAGGCGCCUAUGCUGAUGCGCAAGCAGUCCUUGCUAAAUAUGAUGACAUAGCACUUCCAAAAUCUGCUACAAUAUGUUACACAGCAGCACUUUUGAAAGCGCGGACAGUAGCAGAUAAAUUUUCUCCAGAUAUAGCCAGUAAACGUGGCCUCACAGCAGCAGAAAUGGCAGCAGUUGAAGCGAUUCAUCGGGCUGUAGAAUUCAAUCCACAUGUUCCAAAGUAUCUUCUGGAGAUGAAGCCCCUCAUUCUCCCACCAGAACAUAUUCUUAAACGAGGGGACUCAGAAGCUAUUGCAUAUGCUUUUUUUCACCUCCCACAUUGGAAAAGGGUGGAAGGGGCACUGAACCUCCUUCACUGCACCUGGGAGGGUACAUUCCGAAUCAUUCCAUAUCCUCUUGAAAAAGGUCACCUUUUCUACCCCUACCCAACGUGUACAGAGUGUGCUGACCGGGAGCUUUUACCAUCGUUCCAUGAAGUGUCAGUGUACCCAAAGAAGGAGUUACCAUUCUUCAUUGUGUUCACAGCUGGGCUCUGUUCAUUCACUGCUCUCCUUGCACUUCUCACCCACCAGUAUCCUGAACCCAUGGGGGCCCUGGCCAAGACGGUCAGUUAUCAAGAGUACAGCUCCUGAGUUGGUGGUAUGUUCCCAUCCAAUAUGUAUUAGAAAAGCUAGAAGCUGUAUUGCCUUCAAACCUCCUACACCAUCUAUCACGGAUCUGACCUUCAUACCUCAGUUUAAUAGAAGCAGCUGGGAACAGCAUUCUUCAUCACCGACUUUCGAUAUCUACACAUCCUGCGUCAUAUAUUUUUGUUUAAGUAUUUGUCAAAACUAGCUACUGUGAGCGUUGGUUAUUGUGAUAAAACUACUACCUGCUUCUGAAGCUUUUAGUUUUAAUGAUGUAAACCUCACGUUCCAGUUGCUUAUUUUGUCACACCAGUGUUGUGAUUUGCUGUUUAGAGCCAUAAAUAGUACUUAAAUGAUGCUUGUGUUGAUUUUUUUUUCUAUAGGGAGGAAAAACAUAAAUGGCUCAAACCGGAGAUGUUGGUGGCCAAUGCACAAAACAAUCACAUAAAUUUAUUUUAGGAAUACCUGUAUUAAUAAAAUGACAAGGUUUGAAUGGAAGUUUAUAAAUAAAGACUUAUUUAGUAGUUUGUGCACCAAUACCUCAGUUAUUGGGGACCUGCACAACCACUGGGAUCAGAUAAAUCCAGUACAUCAGAUCAUAAUAUUAUGUGUACUUCAUGGUUUAUAUACUGUACCUGUAAUCCAUGAUUUAUGAAAAGUUCUGAUAUUCUGGGUAAUCAAGAUUUUAAAUGAGUAAUUUCCAAAUUUUUGAGUUACUGGCGUGAUAUACAAGUGGCCUCAACCAAGAUGGAAACAUUAAAUAGUUGAUUUUUUUUUCCAGUUAGUUUUUGAAUAAGGAGUCAUUUCAUUGUCAUUGCUGUGUUUGGUAUAUGCACUGUGUCAAAUAAUACCAGAACUACUAGGAACAGUGUUCAUAUUUCAGUGAUAAAUUUUAAUAAAAGAACAGCUUGGAAACAUAAUAUACAGGUACACUGUACACUUUGUGUAUUUAUGUAGACUUAUGUAUAGAACACUCCAAGAUAGAAAUGUGCAAAUAUUUGUUUAACUGGAUUCUGAGUACAAACAAGACUUAAGGAUUAAGCAGGGAUAUUGAGUUUAUGUGAUGUAAUUUAUAUGCUUUUUUUUCUGAUUGUUACUCAACAGUUUGGUAAAUAUGUUUUUGUUUUAAAUUAUGAAAGAAGAAGCAAACAUGUUAAUGAUGGUUGCAUUGCUUAUGUUCUCAUUUUAUUAAGUUCAGGUACUGUUCCUUUCCCUCUGGCUAAAAUGCAUGUAUGCAAAUACCUGUAUAACAUACUACCUGGUAAUUGUAAAUGAAGAUUUCCACUCACUCUUUAUCUAAUACUUACUUAAAAAGGUUUGCGAAACUUGAGAUUGUAUACUUUUGGUGGUAUAUUUUUUUAAGUUAUUUUCAUGACAGAAUCUUUUUAAACUAAUGGUGCCUCAAGAUUUAUGUUGUCCAAUAUCUUGUGUAUAUUACUUAGGUCAGAUCCAGAUGGCCUGCAGUAAUGAAUUUCCACUCCUCCAUGAUUUAUGAAGCUUCCAAGAUCUGAAGGUUGAUAUACACUAAUAUCUUGAUUAUCUGGGAUACAACUAAACAGACUGUUGAAUGUCUCAGAUAUCAGAUUCCGGAUAGAUGACUUAAGAUAUUGUAAUUAAUGACAUGCUGAAUUACAUAUAUAAAAUGAUGUGAUAUUAAAGAUUUGAUGUCUCUGAUACUCAAUAAUCUUGUUUGAGACCCCUCACAAAUGAAGUAUUGGUGUACAUUUUUUUGUGACAAUUGUGCAUCUUGUACAUUAAACUGACAAAUUAUUUAAUGAAUUUAGUUUUGCAUUA
rnacentral:misc_RNA from 1 species